UACGAAGGGUGCAAGCGUUAAUCGGAAUUACUGGGCGUAAAGGGUGCGUAGGCGGCUCUUUAAGUGAGGUGUGAAAGCCCUGGGCUUAACCCAGGAAUUGCACUUCAAACUGGAGAGCUAGAGUGCAGGAGAGGAAAGUGGAAUUCCCAGUGUAGCGGUGAAAUGCGUAGAGAUUGGGAGGAACACCAGUGGCGAAGGCGACUUUCUGGACUGUAACUGACGCUGAGGCACGAGAGCGUGGGGAGCAAACAGG
rnacentral:rRNA from 1 species